rnacentral:tRNA from 1 species
GGAGAGCUGUCCGAGUGGCCGAAGGAGCACGAUUGGAAAUCGUGUGUGCGGUUUUAACCCGUACCGAGGGUUCGAAUCCCUCGCUCUCCGCCA